CUCCACCCGAGACUCAGUGAAAUUGAACUCGCUGUGAAGAUGCAGUGUACCCGCGGCAAGACGGAAAGACCCCGUGAACCUUUACUAUAGCUUGACACUGAACAUUGAGCCUUGAUGUGUAGGAUAGGUGGGAGGCUUUGAAGUGUGGACGCCAGUCUGCAUGGAGCCGACCUUGAAAUACCACCCUUUAAUGUUUGAUGUUCUAACGUGGACCCGUGAUCCGGGUUGCGGACAGUGUCUGGUGGGUAGUUUGACUGGGGCGGUCUCCUCCUAAAGAGUAACGGAGGAGCACGAAGGUUGGCUAAUCCUGGUCGGACAUCAGGAGGUUAGUGCAAUGGCAUAAGCCAGCUUGACUGCGAGCGUGACGGCGCGAGCAGGUGCGAAAGCAGGUCAUAGUGAUCCGGUGGUUCUGAAUGGAAGGGCCAUCGCUCAACGGAUAAAAGGUACUCCGGGGAUAACAGGCUGAUACCGCCCAAGAGUUCAUAUCGACGGCGGUGUUUGGCACCUCGAUGUCGGCUCAUCACAUCCUGGGGCUGAAGUAGGUCCCAAGGGUAUGGCUGUUCGCCAUUUAAAGUGGUACGCGAGCUGGGUUUAGAACGUCGUGAGACAGUUCGGUCCCUAUCUGCCGUGGGCGCUGGAGAACUGAGGGGGGCUGCUCCUAGUACGAGAGGACCGGAGUGGACGCAUCACUGGUGUUCGGGUUGUCAUGCCAAUGGCACUGCCCGGUAGCUAAAUGCGGAAGAGAUAAGUGCUGAAAGCAUCUAAGCACGAAACUUGCCCCGA
rnacentral:rRNA from 1 species